GGGUGCUUAGCUCAGGAGGUCGAGCGUCGCCCUUCCAAGGCGAAUGUCGGCGGUUCGACCCCGUCAGCACCCACCA
rnacentral:tRNA from 1 species